GAUGAAGAACGUAGCGAAAUGCGAUAAGUAAUGUGAAUUGCAGAAUUCAGUGAAUCAUCGAAUCUUUGAACGCACAUUGCGCCCUCUGGUAUUCCGGGGGGCAUGCCUGUUCGAGCGUCAUUAUAACCACUCAAGCUCUCGCUUGGUAUUGGGGUUCGCGGUUUCGCGGCCCCUAAAAUCAGUGGCGGUGCCUGUCGGCUCUACGCGUAGUAAUACUUCUCGCGAUUGAGUUCGAUAGGUCUACUUGCCAGUAACCCCCAAUUUUUACAGGUUGACCUCGGAUCAGGUAGGGAUACCCGCUGAACUUAAGCAUAUCAAUAAGCCGGAGGA
rnacentral:misc_RNA from 1 species